CCCUUACACACUAUAAAAUGCCUUCUCUCGAACAAGCCUGUUUGGCUAAAAACAGGGGUGGGUGGAGGUUGAACUUGGUGAGGAUGGGAGAGAAGAUUAUGUUUACUUGCUAUAUCCUAAUUUUAUUCCUGAUGAGGGUGGUUGGCAUUAGGGAAGGAGGCUGGGAUCCACCUGAAUGCUGGCUUGUGCAAACAGAAGCAGGUUUUUGGAAGCUCUCCAGUAUCAUGGAGCUCCAUAAGCCUCACUGGCCCUUUGCAGAGGAUGCAACUGAUUCAGUACAGCACUGUUUCACCUGGAGACCAUCCCACACCUCUGCCUGCCACACGCCCAGCCGUUUGGAUGUCUGAUCCUUCACCAACAGGCACAGCAGCGUGUGGUGAUGGGGAACGCGACUCCACCGUAUUUUUGCAGGCCAGCUGCAGACAGGCAGGGCUGGAUGCAGCCCCAGUGAAGGGAGUGCUGCUGCUCCGAGCUCUGCAGGCAGCCGCUGCGCUCCAGGGCCAGAGCUGGUCUCCGAAGCACCAACCUGGCAGGGAUGAGCAUGGAAAGUCCAGAAUUUCUCCAAACCCUCCUGGUGAGCAGCCAGCUGUCCCAGGCAAUGUGAGGCCGACCAGCCAGACCAGGUGCUGCCCGGCUGUGCCGUGCUCCUGCCCGUAGUGUAUCAUCCAAGGAAGGCAGCGUUUCUGCCUGUGCUGCAGUGUUAGAUAAUGCUCUGUGCCUGCUGUUGUUGCUCUCCUAUAAUUACCAGAAACGUUGCUUUAAGAAGUUACAACUUCCUGGAAUGAUGUGAAAAAUGAACCGUUUAGAGCACCAGUGAGUAAUAGGUAAUUGCAGGCUGGAGCAUCUUUAAUCACUUUCAGCCUUAAGUACAUUUUUGAAGAGCGCGGCUCAUUAUUACCUUGCAGAUCUUGAUGGAGUUGUACAAUUCUGGUAGCCUAGAUUACAAACGAAAAAAGAACUUUGUACACAGGGGGACUGGAUGGCAAUUACGGCACAGCCUGGCCCACAGGGGACAGAGGUUUAAGCCCCUGCUCUGCUGCAGGCUUCUGUGUAACUGCAGAAAAAUCACAGGGAUGCGUGUGUACAGGAGGACUGUAGUGCUGCAGUGGUCCCUUAAAAUCCAGGUCCUGUAAAAUCAGAUUCCUUAGGCACAUAUAUAUGUAAUGAGAAGAGUGACCCCCGAGAGGCUAUGCAUAGGCUAAGAAUUAUGUACAGUAGCCAGCAAGAAAAGUUAAGACACAGCUUUGCUGCCUGGAGAAGGGUGUCAAACCUCUUCUGGGACCUUCUGUGGUCCCAGAUGCAUCACUUCAGGUCUAUAAAAUGAAGGUAAAUGUUACUGCACAGGUAAAUACAUGGACAUGAGAAGCUCACCUGUAGCUUUCAAGUGGUAUAUAUGCAGACAUUUAAUAGAGGUUGAAAGGGGUAUUUUCUUUUCAAUUAAGAUCUACACAGCAUGUUUUGCAGGGCUUGGGCAUGCUCUGUGCCUGAGCAGUGCUAAACCAAGGAGGAACUGGUGCUGGUGUGUCUGACCUUCCUUUGCUGUGCCUUCCCGUGCCAUUUCUCAGUGCCUGCCCCCGUCUUGUCCCACUCCUGGCUGCUCUCCUCACCAGGGUGACCAGCAGCAGCGUGCACUCAACCAAGGAGAUGUUUCUGCCUGGGACUUUGAAAGCGAAGAAACCACACCACCUGGCUGUAGUGAGGAGAAGGGAGGAUGACAUGCUCCAGCCGCAGGCAGAUGCCCUCGUCCCUCCUCAUGUUUUCCUAGGAGACAGGACACAAAGAGACAUGCAGGUUGCCAGUUGUCUGUACUUGAAGAAAUGCAGAAGAGGAUGCAUAACUUUGUGAAGCGUAGAAGACUCUAGGUGCAGAUGAUGCUGGUCCCAUCCCUGCCGUACUGCUGCAAUGAAAUGAACAGAUUGAAGGUGGCAAAAUCUGUAGUGAGAGGUACUGCCAGGAGCAGAACUGAUAGCUUGUGAAAAAAUGGAAAAAGCAGAUAAAGCUGCUUGCUUAUCAACAGGUGGAUCUGGAAGUUUUACAGCUCUGCCUUCUGUACCAUUCUACAUCAAAUGAACGAUUUAACAAUUGCUUACGUAUCUACUAUCAAAACCUGCAGGGUGUACAAACAACCGCUGACCAUUUCCGAAGGAAGGAACAGAUUUCCCAGACACUGUGGGGCUGGAUAGUCUUCAGACUGGGCAUCCAUCAUUGCAGAGACUGGUAUUUAAAAACUCUAACACCAAGAAUUUCCAGUUCUGGUCCAUACCCAACAGGCAAGCAGCCACAACUGAACCACUGCAUUUCAAGUUGAGAAGGGCUAGGGGACGGCAGUGACACUCGGACAUGAUACUCUGCCUCUGCACAUUGAUGGCUGGUGCCCCGUGGGCCCCAUGGAGCAGAGCCUCCCUCCCCAUGCUUUAAUUUGUGGUUCAGAAGCGAGUGACCACGCUGUUCUUCCUGUACCCACAGCACUUCACGUGCUGUAGCUGCUGUCAGAUGCCAGGCACAAUUCAUUUUCUUUUGUAACCGCUAAUCUCUUUAUAACAGCAUUUCUACAUAAAUUAAUGAAAGAUCAGAAUAUAAAGAUGUUCAAUUUUGAUUAUUUGCCCAUUUACAGGAAAUUCAGUUAAAAUUGUUUAGUUUUAUCAUCGCUAGACAAAGUAAGCAUGACAGGAUAUUCUAGCCUCUGGAUUAUGUAGAUAACACACAGAAAUGUCAUUUACAUUUUCAUUCUUUUCACAGAGCAACAAACCCAAGCUUGCAAGCAAAUUAAAAUUCCGAACUUAAUUGGAUUUUUAUAUUCUCUUUAAACAGGUAAUAUUGUUUUUCUUCUUUUUAUUAUUGUAUCUGAACACUGGAUUUCAUUUUGAGAGUGUGCCACCAAAGGUGAGAGGCCCUCUGUGCUAAAUGCUUCAUUUAACACCAGUAAAAUCUACCUUUCCUCAACACAUUUGAGGAUUUAGAUUGCUGAACACCAGUAUUUCAGUAUUAUCCUUAAACAUGAGAAAAGCUAUACAAAAUUAUUUUUGUGUAUGCAUGAAAGUACAUGCAUAUAUAUAUAAACAAAAGCACAUGCACACACAUUAUAUAUUUGCUUGCAUGUGCACAGAAACAUACAGAUAUUUAUAUCUACAGCUAUGCAUGCAAAUAUAGAGACAAUUUUGCAAUAAUUUAUCUCUGCAUGCUCAUACAUCUGCCAGAACUUCACAGACCAUUUAAGAAAUAAAAGACAUUUUUUGAGUAUUUCUGAAAGUCUAUCGUGGUAUGAAAACAACACAGAUUAUUCAUCGUUUCCCUUCUUUUUUGGCUUGCCAUGAGUUUGACCAAGCCUGAUAUUGCAUUUGCGACCCUUCUCCUGGUGUCAUUCAAGUGCAAGCAGCUCCUCUGAGACUGCAGGCUGUGAAGCAAGGGUCUCCCGCUGUGCAUGGGGGAAAGCCUUUUAUGGGGACAGAAUAAGAAACAUCCUGGAGAAAACUUCCUUAAACCAUUCAUAUUUCCAUUGAAGGCGCCGCUGAGCAUGGGGCGCUCAGAGCAUUUCUUGGCUCGCUGCUCCCUUUGAGCGCUCUCGGCACAGCAGGCGAGCCGGGAGGCACGAGGCCGGUCCUGUUGUGUCCCUGGGCAACACGGCUGUGCUUUAUCCCAGGGUGACAAAGGGCUGCUUGCAUAUAUACAUAUUCCCAUUCAUCUAAUGAACACUCCGUGACCCCGAAGAAGUCACUGAGGCAGAAGCUUGAUUCAGAAAGCCUCGGUGCUACACAACCGCAGUUGGACUAAGCCCAGCUCCUGCUUUGCUCCGGUUACUUCUGGUCAAUGCGUGUCAAACAUCGCGCUUGCUACUAAAAACCUCUACGGUGCAAAUCUGUUCAGGGCGAGGCAUGAGCGGAAAGGCAGCUCUGACUGAGGGCCUAAUUAUAAAGCUGCCAGUAUCUCUGGGAAAUAUUGGACCACAAAUGUCAGCUCAUCAGCAGGGGUAGGAGCAUUCUGGUGGAAAUACAGAAUUCUCUACAUUAAGUCCCUGCCUUCCACGUUGUAUCAUUUUCAAGUGCAUGACCUAAAAGCAAUAAUGCCAGACAUCUUUGCAUGUGUUUUAUGCUUUCCCUGUAUCAGUGAUGCUGAUUUCAACACCUGCCACAAGCUACGUAAGUGUGUAAAUUAAAAAUGUACUUUGCCUCCUCCAUGCUGACCUUUCCCACAGAUUAUUAGUUGCAUUACAUCUACCUGAGACAGAAACCCCACACAUCCCAGUCAGCAAAUCCCUUGCAUUGGUUCAGGACUUCUCUCUCAUUUUACAAGUUUUGUUUAUUAUAAAUUGCAACUUGAGUGAAGGCUUGGAAUAAUUUCUUGAAAAUAAAGCUUUUCCACACAAAUCCACAGUCAAACAAUAAAGACAGAAGCACUGAAUGAAAUUCA